rnacentral:piRNA from 1 species
UGCCUAGAACAAUUCGUAACGAUGAAUCU